GGGCCCUAUCCUGCUCCGUGUGGGACCCCGCAUUCGGGCCUCCUUAGGCACCGGGUAAAAAGGGGAGAGAGGUACAGGCGUGUAGGUGCAGCCAUAGAGGUGUAUGCGUGUACCAUGCAUGGAGCACCACGCACACGCUAUAGAUACACUGUAUAUAGGACCCAUAUAAGACAUCUGCGUGCCCGAGUGUAUUUAUAAGCAUAUAUUUCCAAAUGACACAUGCGCACACAUGUUUAUUUAUUACUUACAUAUUAUAUAUUACGUAUAUUGCAUUAUAUAUUUAUUGUGUGUUGUUUUAUAUUACGUAUAUAGUAUACAUAUGUAGUAUACAUAUGUAUAUAUAUAUAUAGUAUGUGAGAGAUAUAUAUUGUAUAAAUACACACCUCGCGUUGCUCUUUACAGUGCCGGGGGCUCGGUGCUUCUAGUCCUGCUGCACUGCAGCCCCCUCCGCCGCUGUCCUCCGACCCCACUCGACGAUUCUUCUCCCAGUGUACGAAACCCCCACAGAGAGAAGGGUGCGAGGGGCAGAGGGGACACAGGAGGGGGAUCAGCCCUGUCCCGGGCACGGCUCGGCCUUGGUGUAGCCCCAGGAGGGCCACAGGCUGUCACCUCCCAGGCCACCCACUCGGGGCUGUCCCAGCGAGGCCGAGCCCCGAGCUCGCUUCGCGUUUGCAGUCUCGAAGGCCGGUAUACCCCGACGGCACGGAGCAGCCCCUGCCCCGCUCCAUAGGGCCACUCCGAGCCACCGCCUCCCCACGUCGAGGAACAGCGGUUUGAGGGAGAAUUGCGGCUCUGGGGAAUGCUUUUACUCUCCGGUCCGGGGGGAGGGGGGUCAGCCCUGGGCUGGCCUUGGGGUCAGCGAAACCCGAGGAAAGCGGCCGCUCUGGGAGACGCGAUCCCCUCUUUCCUCUUCUGCUGUCGUCUUUCUUGUCCUUCCCGUGGAAGCGGGGACACUCCCGCACCCCGCAGACGGGAACGGAGGGAAAUGAUCCGUUCCGAACUCCGUCGCCCCGUUAGUUUUCUUUCGGCCGCGACUUUCGCCGAGAAACCCAAAAGCACUAAGAACAGCACACCAUCAGUCGAACAAAAACUUCAGCGUUUCGGAGGAACUCUCAAACUUCAGCCCAAUCUCCGCCCGCCGCCGAAACCGGACCCGUUCGAAGAGAUGGAUGAUAUGACACUCCACCUUGCCCUGGAAGGUAACAGGAGGCAGAAAAACCUCUCUGGAAUACAUCAGUGCCCUUCUACUUUUGGUAUUCAAACUGACAGCUCUCUUAUUUGCUGCCAGAGAUAUUCUACCAGAAAGCAUUCUCUAUGCAAAAUGUCGUUCCCAUUCUCAUUCCUCUGCAGUGAAUUUGGACAAUCACAGAUCACUGCCUGGGUCCCAACUCUGGCUCUCAGAAGUGCAGGAGAACAGAUGCUGGAGUUCAAGGAAGGGUUGGACAUUGCUCUUAUAUAUAGGAUUGAUUUUGGGAGUUCCUGUGUGGAGCCAUGA
ensembl:lncRNA